UUUAGCAUGGAAUAAUAGAAUAGGACGUGUGGUUCUAUUUUGUUGGUUUCUAGGACCGCCGUAAUGAUUAAUAGGGAUAGUCGGGGGCGUCAGUAUUCAGCUGUCAGAGGUGAAAUUCUUGGAUUUGCUGAAGACUAACUACUGCGAAAGCAUUCGCCAAGGAUGUUUUCAUUAAUCAGGGAACGAAAGUUAGGGGAUCGAAGACGAUCAGAUACCGUCGUAGUCUUAACCAUAAACUAUGCCGACUAGGGAUCGGACGGGAUUCUAUAAUGACCCGUUCGGCACCUUACGAGAAAUCAAAGUUUUUGGGUUCUGGGGGGAGUAUGGUCGCAAGGCUGAAACUUAAAGAAAUUGACGGAAGGGCACCACAAGGCGUGGAGCCUGCGGCUUAAUUUGACUCGACACGGGGAAACUCACCAGGUCCAGACAAAAUAAGGAUUGACAGAUUGAGAGCUCUUUCUUGAUCUUUUGGAUGGUGGUGCAUGGCCGUUCUUAGUUGGUGGAGUGAUUUGUCUGCUUAAUUGCGAUAACGAACGAGACCUCGGCCCUUAAAUAGCCCGGUCCGCAUUUGCGGGCCGCUGGCUUCUUAAGGGGACUAUCGGCUCAAGCCGAUGGAAGUGCGCGGCAAUAACAGGUCUGUGAUGCCCUUAGAUGUUCUGGGCCGCACGCGCGCUACACUGACAGGGCCAGCGAGUACAUCACCUUAACCGAGAGGUUUGGGUAAUCUUGUUAAACCCUGUCGUGCUGGGGAUAGAGCAUUGCAAUA
rnacentral:rRNA from 1 species